AUGUUUUUUUUUCCUAUAUAUGUUUAUUUACAUGAUCAUGUGAUUCGAGGUACAUUAUUGUUUGGCUAAUAAUUUCAGGCACUGUCAAAAUCUUUGACAAAUAAUGAAUUGGUUUUAUCUAAGAGCUCAGUUAUGCCUUUGGAACAAAACAAACAUGGGCAUGUGUCUCAUGACAACUUUAGAACGAUGGCGCCCUUAAUCUUAUAGGAAGAUGGAUUUUGAAGAACUUUGUGCUACAACCAUCAGCAUAAGUUAACUUGAGGCCCUUGAGACAUGGGAGCAAACCAG